rnacentral:lncRNA from 1 species
CAAAGAUGGCCUUUCCUCCAGGUUCUAGUAACGUGUUCCUCAUUUUCAUCUGAGGACUCAUCAAAAUGGCCUUUACUGUUCAUGUUUCUACCAACAUUCUGUUCUUGUCUAUUUAGAUGUUCUCUAAGAAGAUGGAAGGUUUUCUACAGUUCUCCUCUUUUUUUUUUCUGCAGUUUCACCAGACUUACCUUUAGGAGUCCAUUCAUGGCCUUCCAGGCUUUUUCUAACACGCAUCUCAAAAUGCUUCCAGCCUCUACCCAUUACCACUGCAAAGCUGCUUCCACGUUUUUGGAUCUAACUAAUUUCACAUGAGAAAAGAAAUUGUGACAUCAUCCCAUCACUGCUCAGACAUGAAACUUUCACUCCCAGCAUGGACAAUGUUUCCCUUUAAGGAAAACAGGACCCUUGACUUCGCUGGGCGCUGCUGAUGGAAGAGGUUCGUUCAAGCAACCCUGGACAGCAUCUUCCAUAUGGGAAGCACCUCCUUGACGAAAAUGAGAGAUGAAUAUGACUGCAAACCCAUGCAUUCCGGUCUUUGUUGUGUAAAUAAACAUACUUCUCAAUCUCAACUGUUUGCCAUUAAAAGGGAGGUUCUUAAUUUAGUACCAUGUUUUUAAAAU